GUGGCUAAUACCGCAUAACGUCGCAAGACCAAAGAGGGGGACCUUCGGGCCUCUUGCCAUCAGAUGUGCCCAGAUGGGAUUAGCUUGUUGGUGAGGUAACGGCUCACCAAGGCGACGAUCCCUAGCUGGUCUGAGAGGAUGACCAGCCACACUGGAACUGAGACACGGUCCAGACUCCUACGGGAGGCAGCAGUGGGGAAUAUUGCACAAUGGGCGCAAGCCUGAUGCAGCCAUGCCGCGUGUAUGAAGAAGGCCUUCGGGUUGUAAAGUACUUUCAGCGGGGAGGAAGGUGUUGUGGUUAAUAACCGCAGCAAUUGACGUUACCCGCAGAAGAAGCACCGGCUAACUCCGUGCCAGCAGCCGCGGUAAUACGGAGGGUGCAAGCGUUAAUCGGAAUUACUGGGCGUAAAGCGCACGCAGGCGGUCUGUCAAGUCGGAUGUGAAAUCCCCGGGCUCAACCUGGGAACUGCAUUCGAAACUGGCAGGCUUGAGUCUUGUAGAGGGGGGUAGAAUUCCAGGUGUAGCGGUGAAAUGCGUAGAGAUCUGGAGGAAUACCGGUGGCGAAGGCGGCCCCCUGGACAAAGACUGACGCUCAGGUGCGAAAGCGUGGGGAGCAAACAGGAUUAGAUACCCUGGUAGUCCACGCCGUAAACGAUGUCUACUUGGAGGUUGUGCCCUUGAGGCGUGGCUUCCGGAGCUAACGCGUUAAGUAGACCGCCUGGGGAGUACGGCCGCAAGGUUAAAACUCAAAUGAAUUGACGGGGGCCCGCACAAGCGGUGGAGCAUGUGGUUUAAUUCGAUGCAACGCGAAGAACCUUACCUGGUCUUGACAUCCACAGAACUUUCCAGAGAUGGAUUGGUGCCUUCGGGAACUGUGAGACAGGUGCUGCAUGGCUGUCGUCAGCUCGUGUUGUGAAAUGUUGGGUUAAGUCCCGCAACGAGCGCAACCCUUAUCCUUUGUUGCCAGCGGUCCGGCCGGGAACUCAAAGGAGACUGCCAGUGAUAAACUGGAGGAAGGUGGGGAUGACGUCAAGUCAUCAUGGCCCUUACGACCAGGGCUACACACGUGCUACAAUGGCGCAUACAAAGAGAAGCGACCUCGCGAGAGCAAGCGGACCUCAUAAAGUGCGUCGUAGUCCGGAUUGGAGUCUGCAACUCGACUCCAUGAAGUCGGAAUCGCUAGUAAUCGUGGAUCAGAAUGCCACGGUGAAUACGUUCCCGGGCCUUGUACACACCGCCCGUCACACCAUGGGAGUGGGUUGCAAAAGAAGUAGGUAGCUUAACCUUCGGGAGGGCGCUUACCACUUUGUGAUUCAUGACUGGGGUGAAGUCGUAACAAGGUAACCGUAGGGGAACCUGC
rnacentral:rRNA from 2 species